UUGGAGGGCAAGUCUGGUGCCAGCAGCCGCGGUAAUUCCAGCUCCAAUAGCGUAUAUUUAAGUUGUUGCAGUUAAAAAGCUCGUAGUUGAAUUUCGGGACUGACAGGUUGGUCGCGCCUUCGGUGUGUACUGGCCUAGUCGGUUUCUCCCUUCUGACGAACCACGAUGUCAUUAAUUUGGUGUCGUGGGGAAUCAGGACUGUUACUUUGAAAAAAUUAGAGUGUUUAAAGCAGGCUUAGGCUUGAAUACAUUAGCAUGGAAUAAUGAAAUAGGACGUUUGAUCCUAUUUUGUUGGUUUCUAGGAUCGACGUAAUGAUUAAUAGGGAUAGUUGGGGGCAUUAGUAUUCAAUUGUCAGAGGUGAAAUUCUUGGAUUUAUUGAAGACUAACUACUGCGAAAGCAUUUGCCAAGGAUGUUUUCAUUAAUCAAGAACGAAAGUUAGGGGAUCGAA
rnacentral:rRNA from 1 species